AGUUACUUUUGGUUCACAAAAAAAUCACAAAUCCAAAGGAGAUGUUUAAAGUAUUGGACAAUGCUGUAUAAGAGAAGUACCCCAUAGUGAGAGUUGCAGAGGGCAUUGAACAGGAAACGUUGGCUCUAGUUAUUGCGAACAAACUCAAGGGUGUGUUGAAGGCAGCUGACAGGAGAUUGGAGCUGAGAUCUUCAGAAGAGCUUAGAGUUAUCUUGCAAGACUGAUAACCGAGAAUGCAGGCGAAAAUGCCAACAUUGUCGUAAACUAGGUCCUUUUACCUUAGUUCAUCAUUAUUCUUUAGAUAUGAAUGCUGGGAUUUGAAAUUUUGGGCUUUGAAUUUUUUUUAUCAUUAUAGAAAAAUUUGAUGCAAAAACUUGAAUUUGGUUUGGUGCUAUGUUGUGACAGCAAAGGAGUUGAUUCAGCAAUCUUGAGGAGCUGGCAAGAUCAGUUAGAGAGUUAGUUAGCUAAACAAGUGAUAACUGUUAGUUAGAGAGUUAGUUAGCUAAACAAGUGACAACCGUUGUGUUACCAAAAUAAAUAGUAUUCUUUGUACAAAACAGAUUCAUUCAAUGAAUAAUACGGAAAUUACUCUCUAAA